UACGUAGGGGGCAAGCGUUGUCCGGAAUCAUUGGGCGUAAAGAGCGUGUAGGCGGUCCGGUAAGUCGGCUGUGAAGGUCCAGGGCUCAACCCUGGGAUGCCGGUCGAUACUGCCGGACUAGAGUUCGGAAGAGGCGAGUGGAAUUCCCGGUGUAGCGGUGAAAUGCGCAGAUAUCGGGAGGAACACCAAUGGCGAAGGCAGCUCGCUGGGACGGUACUGACGCUGAGACGCGAAAGCGUGGGGAGCAAACAGG
rnacentral:rRNA from 1 species